AACGUCAGUGAAGAAACCAACGAUCCCUGCUCUUAGGUGUCGGCUCGGGUGAUGGAGCGAGAGGUCCCGAGGAACUCAAACGAGAGGAGCAAGGGAGAAGGAGCGGAAAGAAGACCCUCCAGACUCCCAAAGAGAUUGGUGUGGUGUUACUAACAAAUUAUGUGUAAGAAAAAAAGAAUAAUCAUGAUUCUGCUUGGACUGCUUAACCCAAAUACGUAAAUCACAUGCUGCUUAGAAAUUAGACAAAUAAAAUGAGUGCCCUUAUUGACCAUGUUUAAAUAAUAAGCAAUAGCAUAAACAGGAGGGAACUGACAGAGAUAUAAAUGUAUGUUAUGUUAUUGCUUACCGUAUCUUAAACUCAACAAUCAGAGGAGCUUCCCGAACUCCGCGUUCCCACCCGAAGGUUUUGUUAUGUGUUCGGGGAGUCUGAUACCAGACGGAAGGAAUAUGUCAACUUGUCCUCAGUUCCACUUCUCCUUUGGUGUUGUGUGUGUGUGAGUGUUAAGCUUUCAAUAAAAGGCUGGACCAAAGGGGUGCUCGGCGGAAUGUCUUGGAGGUCGUCGUGUUCAGAGCAUAGGCGACUGAGCUUCCCCUUUGGCCAAAGCUUUGGUCAAAGAUA